AGAGUUUGAUCCUGGCUCAGGACGAACGCUGGCGGCGUGCCUAAUACAUGCAAGUCGAGCGGACAGAUGGGAGCUUGCUCCCUGAUGUUAGCGGCGGACGGGUGAGUAACACGUGGGUAACCUGCCUGUAAGACUGGGAUAACUCCGGGAAACCGGGGCUAAUACCGGAUGGUUGUUUGAACCGCAUGGUUCAAACAUAAAAGGUGGCUUCGGCUACCACUUACAGAUGGACCCGCGGCGCAUUAGCUAGUUGGUGAGGUAACGGCUCACCAAGGCGACGAUGCGUAGCCGACCUGAGAGGGUGAUCGGCCACACUGGGACUGAGACACGGCCCAGACUCCUACGGGAGGCAGCAGUAGGGAAUCUUCCGCAAUGGACGAAAGUCUGACGGAGCAACGCCGCGUGAGUGAUGAAGGUUUUCGGAUCGUAAAGCUCUGUUGUUAGGGAAGAACAAGUACCGUUCGAAUAGGGCGGUACCUUGACGGUACCUAACCAGAAAGCCACGGCUAACUACGUGCCAGCAGCCGCGGUAAUACGUAGGUGGCAAGCGUUGUCCGGAAUUAUUGGGCGUAAAGGGCUCGCAGGCGGUUUCUUAAGUCUGAUGUGAAAGCCCCCGGCUCAACCGGGGAGGGUCAUUGGAAACUGGGGAACUUGAGUGCAGAAGAGGAGAGUGGAAUUCCACGUGUAGCGGUGAAAUGCGUAGAGAUGUGGAGGAACACCAGUGGCGAAGGCGACUCUCUGGUCUGUAACUGACGCUGAGGAGCGAAAGCGUGGGGAGCGAACAGGAUUAGAUACCCUGGUAGUCCACGCCGUAAACGAUGAGUGCCAAGUGUUAGGGGGUUUCCGCCCCUUAGUGCUGCAGCUAACGCAUUAAGCACUCCGCCUGGGGAGUACGGUCGCAAGACUGAAACUCAAAGGAAUUGACGGGGGCCCGCACAAGCGGCGGAGCAUGUGGUUUAAUUCGAAGCAACGCGAAGAACCUUACCAGGUCUUGACAUCCUCUGACAAUCCUAGAGAUAGGACGUCCCCUUCGGGGGCAGAGUGACAGGUGGUGCAUGGUUGUCGUCAGCUCGUGUCGUGAGAUGUUGGGUUAAGUCCCGCAACGAGCGCAACCCUUGAUCUUAGUUGCCAGCAUUCAGUUGGGCACUCUAAGGUGACUGCCGGUGACAAACCGGAGGAAGGUGGGGAUGACGUCAUAUCAUCAUGCCCCUUAUGACCUGGGCUACACACGUGCUACAAUGGACAGAACAAAGGGCAGCGAAACCGCGAGGUUAAGCCAAUCCCACAAAUCUGUUCUCAGUUCGGAUCGCAGUCUGCAACUCGACUGCGUGAAGCUGGAAUCGCUAGUAAUCGCGGAUCAGCAUGCCGCGGUGAAUACGUUCCCGGGCCUUGUACACACCGCCCAUCACACCACGAGAGUUUGUAACACCCGAAGUCGGUGAGGUAACCUUUUAGGAGCCAGCCGCCGAAGGUGGGACAGAUGAUUGGGGUGAAGUCGUAACAAGGUA
rnacentral:rRNA from 1 species